GAUGAACGCUGGCGGCGUGCCUAAUACAUGCAAGUCAAGCGAACAGACGAGGAGCUUGCUCCUCUGACGUUAGCGGCGGACGGGUGAGUAACACGUGGAUAACCUACCUAUAAGACUGGGAUAACUUCGGGAAACCGGAGCUAAUACCGGAUAAUAUAUUGAACCGCAUGGUUCAAUAGUGAAAGACGGUUUUGCUGUCACUUAUAGAUGGAUCCGCGCCGCAUUAGCUAGUUGGUAAGGUAACGGCUUACCAAGGCAACGAUGCGUAGCCGACCUGAGAGGGUGAUCGGCCACACUGGAACUGAGACACGGUACAGACUCCUACGGGAGGCAGCAGUAGGGAAUCUUCCGCAAUGGGCGAAAGCAUGACGGAGAAACGCCGCGUGAGUGAUGAAGGUCUUCGGAUCGUAAAACUCUGUUAUUAGGGAAGAACAAAUGUGUAAGUAACUAUGCACGUCUUGACGGUACCUAAUCAGAAAGCCAAGGCUAACUACGUG
rnacentral:rRNA from 1 species